CGCGUGGGAAUCUACCCAGUAGUGGGGGACAACAGUUGGAAACGACUGCUAAUACCGCAUACGCCCUACGGGGGAAAGCAGGGGAUCUUCGGACCUUGUGCUAUUGGAUGAGCCCGCGUGAGAUUAGCUAGUUGGUGGGGUAAUGGCCUACCAAGGCGACGAUCUCUAGCUGGUUUGAGAGGAUGAUCAGCCACACUGGGACUGAGACACGGCCCAGACUCCUACGGGAGGCAGCAGUGGGGAAUAUUGCACAAUGGGGGAAACCCUGAUGCAGCCAUGCCGCGUGUGUGAAGAAGGCCU
rnacentral:rRNA from 1 species